rnacentral:rRNA from 1 species
AGUGAACGCUGGCGGUAGGCCUAACACAUGCAAGUCGAACGGCGGCACAGUAAGAGCUUGCUCUUACGGGUGGCGAGUGGCGGACGGGUGAGGAAUACAUCGGAAUCUACUUUUUCGUGGGGGAUAACGUAGGGAAACUUACGCUAAUACCGCAUACGACCUACGGGUGAAAGCAGGGGAUCUUCGGACCUUGCGCGAUUGAAUGAGCCGAUGUCGGAUUAGCUAGUUGGCGGGGUAAAGGCCCACCAAGGCGACGAUCCGUAGCUGGUCUGAGAGGAUGAUCAGCCAAACUGGAACUGAGACACGGUCCAGACUCCUACGGGAGGCAGCAGUGGGGAAUAUUGGACAAUGGGCGCAAGCCUGAUCCAGCCAUACCGCGUGGGUGAAGAAGGCCUUCGGGUUGUAAAGCCCUUUUGUUGGGAAAGAAAAGCAGCAGGUUAAUACCCCGCUGUUCUGACGGUACCCAAAGAAUAAGCACCGGCUAACUUCGU